rnacentral:rRNA from 1 species
AUUGAACGCUGGCGGCAGGCCUAACACAUGCAAGUCGAACGAGUGGCGGACGGGUGAGUAAUGUCUGGGAAACUGCCUGAUGGAGGGGGAUAACUACUGGAAACGGUAGCUAAUACCGCAUACCAUCAGAUGUGCCCAGAUGGGAUUAGCUAGUAGGUGGGGUAACGGCUCACCUAGGCGACGGUCCCUAGCUGGUCUGAGAGGAUGACCAGCCACCGUGGAACUGAAACCCGGUCCAGACUCCUAGGGGAGGCAGCAUUGGGGAGUAUUGCACAAUGGGCGCAAGCCUGAUGCAGCCAUGCCGCGUGUAUGAAGAAGGCCUUCGGGUUGUAAAGUACUUUCAGCGGGGAGGUGUUACCCGCAGAAGAAGCACCGGCUAACUCCGUGCCAGCAGCCGCGGUAAUUC